GUGCUAGUGUCGUAAGACAUCAUCGUAAACUUAGGGCGUGCUUGGGGAGUCUUGUAAGGUACCGGCCUGGGAGGAAUAUCUGCAAAAAAAGUUUACACUAUAGAAAUAGACUAUUGACAAUCCAUAAUUUAUAAAGUUAAUUAAUUAUGGUUGCGAUGCAUUACGCAACAACGCAGUGUCAGGGAGCCGACCUCGGAACCACCGAAAUGUGACAAACCCACACCCUUCGGCCAAAACUCCUCCUUGUUGGUCGCUAGAUUUGUGUGAUGAGCACAGAUAUUUGUUCCUGAGUCAUGGAUUUUUUCUAUGUAUUUAAGUAUUAGUACUUAUAUUAUACAUAUCGUUGUCUGAGUACCCACAACACAAGCCUUCAUGGCUUAUCGUGGGAUUUAGUCAAUUUGUGUAAGAAUUACCCUAUAAUAUUUGUUUAUUUAUAAAAUAUUACUUCUCACAUUGCGAUAGGUAUUUGCCAAAGGAUGCCCAGUAUAGAGUUAGACACAUUUUACCCAAUAACUAACUCGUUGUGAAACUUUAUACUCAAUUUCCUCACAACCCAGUAAUAAAAUGUCUACGUGUCAACCAUUUCCUCAUUUGUCAUACAAGCUCUGCGCAAAAAUAGAUACUUUAAAAGCCAUUAAAUAAAUAAAAAACAUUAUUAAAACGGUAUUUUUUACGGUAAAUACGCCAACCUUGGACCAGUGUAUGAAUUUGUUCCGGUUGCUGUCGAAACGGCUGGGCCAUGGUGCACAGAGGCCAAGAAACUGGUUAGGGGAUUGGGCGUCAAAUAAAGGGACAGAGGCUGCGACCCCCGGGCUGGCUCUAAUCUGGUCCAACAAAAUAUCUUUGACUAUUCAGCGUGGCAACGCAGCUGGCAUAUUUGGGACGUUAGGCCAGGCAUGGAAUAGUUCGGGGCUAAAAUGUUUUUUUUUGUUUUUGUUUUUUUUUUUGACGAAGCAUGUUGUGGAUACGAGUAUUAUUUUUGUGUGUAGCAACCUAGCAACUAUGAUUAAGCCUGCGCUGUGGAUUGAUAUUGUAUUAAUUUGCAUUAUUUGUGUGCCUAGACUUUGAAAAUAAAGCAAAAUGAUUUA